rnacentral:rRNA from 1 species
ACCGUACUCCUACGGGAGGCAGCAGUGGGGAAUCUUGCGCAAUGGGCGAAAGCCUGACGCAGCCAUGCCGCGUGAAUGAUGAAGGUCUUAGGAUUGUAAAAUUCUUUCACCGGGGAAGAUAAUGACGGUACCCGGAGAAGAAGCCCCGGCUAACUUCGUGCCAGCAGCCGCGGUAAUACGAAGGGGGCUAGCGUUGCUCGGAAUUACUGGGCGUAAAGGGCGCGUAGGCGGACAGUUUAGUCAGAGGUGAAAGCCCAGGGCUCAACCUUGGAAUUGCCUUUGAUACUGGCUGUCUUGAGUUCGGGAGAGGUGAGUGGAAUGCCGAGUGUAGAGGUGAAAUUCGUAGACAUUCGGCGGAACACCAGUCGCGAAGGCGACUCACUGGCCCGAUACUGACGCUGAGGCGCGAAAGCGUGGGGAGCAAACAGGAUUAGAAACCCCAGUAGUCCUUGAC